rnacentral:rRNA from 1 species
UACAGAGGGUGCAAGCGUUAAUCGGAAUUACUGGGCGUAAAGCGUGUGUAGGUGGUUCGUUAAGUCAGAUGUGAAAUCCCUGGGCUCAACCUAGGAAUUGCAUUUGAAACUGAUGAGCUAGAGUGUGGAAGAGGAUAGUGGAAUUCCCGGUGUAGCGGUGAAAUGCGUAGAUAUCAGGAAGAACACCCGUGGCGAAGGCGGCUCUCUGGAACGCAACUGACGCUGAGACGCGAAAGCGUGGGGAGCAAACAGG